rnacentral:rRNA from 1 species
AGCAGCCGCGGUAAUUCCAGCUCCAAUAGCGUAUAUUAAAGUUGUUGCAGUUAAAAAGCUCGUAGUUGAAUUUCGGGAUCAGUAGGUCGGUCGUGCCUACGGUAUGUACUGGUCUCACUGAUUCCUCCUUCUUGAAGAACCGUAAUGUCAUUAACUUGGUGUCGCGGGGAAACAGGACUGUUACUUUGAAAAAAUUAGAGUGUUUAAAGCAGGCCAACGCCUGGAUACACUAGCAUGGAAUAAUGAAAUAGGACGUUCGAUCCUAUUCUGUUGGUUUCUAGGAUUGACGUAAUGAUUAAUAGGGAUAGUCGGGGGCAUUAGUAUUCAAUUGUCAGAGGUGAAAUUCUUGGAUUUAUUGAAGACUAACUACUGCGAAAGCAUUUGCCAAGGAUGUUUUCAUUAAUCAAGAACGAAAGUUAGGGGAUCGAAGACGAUCAGAUACCGUCGUAGUCUUAACCAUAAACUAUGCCGACUAGGGAUCGGAUGAUGUUAAUUUUUUAAUGACUCA